rnacentral:rRNA from 1 species
AGCGAACGCUGGCGGCAGGCUUAACACAUGCAAGUCGAGCGGGCCCUUCGGGGUUAGCGGCGGACGGGUGCGUAACGCGUGGGAACGUGCCUUCUGGUCUGGAAUAACCCUGGGAAACUAGGGCUAAUACCGGAUACGCCCUUUUGGGGAAAGGUUUACUGCCGGAGGAUCGGCCCGCGUCGGAUUAGCUAGUUGGUGGGGUAACGGCCUACCUAGGCGACGAUCAGUAGCUGGUCUGAGAGGAUGAUCAGCCACACUGGGACUGAGACACGGCCCAGACUCCUACGGGAGGCAGCAGUGGGGAAUAUUGGACAAUGGGCGCAAGCCUGAUCCAGCCAUGCCGCGUGAGUGAUGAAGGCCUUAGGGUUGUAAAGCUCUUUUAUCCGGGACGAUAAUGACGGUACCGGAAGAAUAAGCCCCGGCUAACUUCGUG